rnacentral:lncRNA from 1 species
CGGGCGAGCUGUGGACAGGGUGUGGCGAGGGCGACUAGAGCGUCGCGCGGUGGUCGAGCAGAGCACGGCCUAGUAGCAAGGCGAGAGGGCGAGCGGCAGGUGGGGCGAGCGGUGCGGGCUGCACAGGCUGGACGACACUGCGUCGAAGCGGCUCGAGCUGACCGGGCGGGACGGCUCCUGCAGCGAGGCGACACGAGCUGGGCGAACGGGGCAGGUGCUGCGACGAGGCGGGCCGAGCUAGGCGGACCGUUUGGGAUCAGGGCUGCUCGAGCAUGUUGGGCGCAGAAGCGUCAAACGUAUGUCCGCUCCCAUGCCGUCCGUCCAAAUUGACCCCAAACGGACAUAAAGCGGACGCCCGUCGGGUCAUGUGCCGGCAUUGGCCUUAUCACAUGUGUUUCGUAGUCACUUUUAUCA